CAUAGCUAUUCACUAAACACAUGAUAACUCAUAUCUGCAAGUGACCAAGUGUAUUUAUAUCACUCAAUAAAAUCUUGCUGAUGCUGUCAGGCUGGGUCCAAGGACCCAGAGGGCGUUCCCAAGACCAGCCAAGAGGGUCCUUGGCUUCAUAUAGGAUGGAAAUCAAACAUGAACCAGCAGGAGGUGAGAGCAGAGGUUACCAGAGGUACAGAGAAAGCAGGUACAGACGGAGCCCCUGGGAGACUCAGAAAGGAGCAGGGGUCUCGUCUUUGUUUGGGGUGUGGCAUCCAGGAACUGGUCAGAACAAAGACGAAGGCCCGCGUGUUACUCCUCGGAGCCAGGGUCCCCGCGUGGGGACGUCCGGCUCCGUGGUCUGGAAUUGCCCUGGGAUGGCUCCUCUCCUGGUCCUUCCUGGGACGUUUUCUAUUGUAGAGCAGUCAUUGACUCCAUGUCCCUUACAGGGAGGACACACACUGUUUGCACCGUGCAGCGUGUGUGAUGUGGGGGUGCCGGUCCUGGCAGGAACGCAAGCAGGAAAAGGAGCAAACAGCAGAUUUGUAUGGAGUCUUUCAGUUUCUCUGCCUCCCUCACUCCUUGUCAAAGGAACAGAACAGCCACCUGCUAGUAAUGGUCUUCCACAUUUUCCUUAGUCUUUUUGUUCCAAGCUAGAAGAAUGGUUCGCUAUAUCCCCUUCAUAAAGGACCAGUAUGAUCGAGCACAAUGCCCAGGAUGCAUAAACCAACAUUUAUUAUUAGCUGAGUGGCCCAGAAUUACUAAGAGCUGUUAGAAACCUGUGGAUCUUUCCUGGUAAUUUUGUCCCCAGCGUGGGGCUCGAACUCACGACCCUGAGAUCAAGAGUUGUAUGCUCUACUGACAGAGCCAGGCAGGCGCCCCACUUGAGUCUCUAAAUGUAUUUAAUAUGCAACAACAUAUAGAGGAAUACAUGGUAAAUUCUAUUUAUUUAUGCAUGGGAUGAGUUGCUUUUAUUGGCAAGAGGAAGAGGAAGAUCCCCUGAAUUUGGAGCUGCUGGGAAUAUAGCAUCCCAGGAUUAGAGGCUUGGGAGAGGCAAACAUUCUCCCUGGAGGGGAUUGUGUGGUCCAGUGCUUUUUUUCUGUUGUUUAAGAGAUGAAGGAAAUGAGGCCCAGGGAAGACAGGAGACUUGACAGGGUUGGAUGCCCAGUUACUGGCCAGCCUAGCAUGUAAUGGGGUCCAGAUAUUCCAGUUUCCCGUGCAGAGGCACUAAGGUGAAGGGUUAAGAGCACAGGCUUGGAUGUCCAGGAGGCUUGGGUUGGCUGCCUG